UAAAGCGUGCGCAGGCGGUUUUGUAAGUCUGAUGUGAAAUCCCCGGGCUCAACCUGGGAAUUGCAUUGGAGACUGCAAGGCUAGAAUCUGGCAGAGGGGGUAGAAUUCCACGUGUAGCAGUGAAAUGCGUAGAUAUGUGGAGGAACACCGAUGGCGAAGGCAGCCCCCUGGGUCAAGAUUGACGCUCAUGCACGAAAGCGUGGGGAGCAAACAGGAUUAGAUACCCUAGU
rnacentral:rRNA from 1 species